rnacentral:rRNA from 1 species
UACGUAGGGUGCAAGCGUUGUCCGGAAUUAUUGGGCGUAAAGGGCUCGUAGGCGGUCCAUCACGUCGGGAGUGAAAAGCUGGGGCUUAACCCCAGUCCUGCUUCCGAUACGGGUGGACUAGAGGUAGGCAGGGGAGAACGGAGUUCCUGGUGUAGCGGUGAAAUGCGCAGAUAUCGGGAGGAACACCAAUGGCGAAGGCAGCUUGCUGGGACGGUACUGACGCUGAGGCGCGAAAGCGUGGGGAGCAAACAGG